rnacentral:piRNA from 1 species
AAUUAGUUUUUGUAUUGGAAGGG